rnacentral:rRNA from 1 species
AUUGAACGCUGGCGGCAGGCCUAACACAUGCAAGUCGAGCGGAUGAAGGGAGCUUGCUCCUGGAUUCAGCGGCGGACGGGUGAGUAAUGCCUAGGAAUCUGCCUGGUAGUGGGGGAUAACGUCCGGAAACGGGCGCUAAUACCGCAUACGUCCUGAGGGAGAAAGUGUGGGAUCUUCGGACCUCACGCUAUCAGAUGAGCCUAGGUCGGAUUAGCUAGUUGGUGGGGUAAAGGCCUACCAAGGCGACGAUCCGUAACUGGUCUGAGAGGAUGAUCAGUCACACUGGAACUGAGACACGGUCCAGACUCCUACGGGAGGCAGCAGUGGGGAAUAUUGGACAAUGGGCGAAAGCCUGAUCCAGCCAUGCCGCGUGUGUGAAGAAGGUCUUCGGAUUGUAAAGCACUUUAAGUUGGGAGGAAGGGCAGUAAGUUAAUAUCUUGCUGUUUUGACGUUACCAACAGAAUAAGCACCGGCUAACUUCGUG